GUAAUUUGCAGAGGAUGCUUCGGGAGUAGCCGCGGUCUAAGUCCCCUGGAACGGGGCGUCGCAGAGGGUGAGAAUCCCGUCUUCGGCCGGCCGGCUGCGCCCGUGUGAAGCUCCUUCGACGAGUCGAGUUGUUUGGGAAUGCAGCUCUAAAUGGGUGGUAAAUUUCAUCUAAAGCUAAAUACAGGUCGGAGACCGAUAGCGCACAAGUAGAGUGAUCGAAAGAUGAAAAGCACUUUGAAAAGAGAGUUAAACAGCAUGUGAAAUUGUUGAAAGGGAAGCGUUUGCGACCAGAGUCGGCCGCCGGGGUUCAGCGGGCUUUCGGGCCCGUGCAUUUCCCGGUGGUCGGGCCAGCGUCGGUUUGGGCGGUCGGUCAAAGGCUCCUGGAAUGUAGCGCCCUCCGGGGCGUCUUAUAGCCAGGGGUGCAAUGCGGCCCGCCCGGACCGAGGAACGCGCUUCGGCACGGACGCUGGCUUAAUGGUCGUAAGUGACCCGUCUUGAAACACGGACCAAGGAGUCUAACAUCCACGCGAGUGUUCGGGUGUCAAACCCGUCCGCGCAGUGAAAGCGAACGGAGGUGAGAGCCUCUCGCAAGAGGGGUGCAUCAUCGACCGAUCCUGAAGUCUUCGGAUGGAUUUGAGUAAGAGCGUGGCUGUGGGGACCCGAAAGAUGGUGAACUAUGCCUGAAUAGGGUGAAGCCAGAGGAAACUCUGGUGGAGGCUCGCAGCGGUUCUG
rnacentral:misc_RNA from 1 species